rnacentral:rRNA from 1 species
CACGUAGGGUGCGAGCGUUGUCCGGAAUUAUUGGGCGUAAAGAGCUCGUAGGCGGCUCGUCGCGUCAUCCGUGAAAACCCGCAGCUUAACUGCGGGCUUGCGGGCGAUACGGGGCAGGCUAGAGUUCGGUAGGGGAGACUGGAAUUCCUGGUGUAGCGGUGAAAUGCGCAGAUAUCAGGAGGAACACCGGUGGCGAAGGCGGCUGCUGGGCCAGUUCUGACGCUGAGGAGCGAAAGCGUGGGGAGCGAACAGG